UACAGAGGGGGCAAGCGUUGUUCGGAAUUACUGGGCGUAAAGGGCGCGUAGGCGGCCUGUUAAGUCGAACGUGAAAUCCCCGGGCUCAACCCGGGAACUGCGUCCGAUACUGGCAGGCUUGAAUCCGGGAGAGGGAUGCGGAAUUCCAGGUGUAGCGGUGAAAUGCGUAGAUAUCCGGAAGAACACCGGUGGCGAAGGCGGUCUGCUGGGCAGUAGCUGACACUAAGGCGCGACAGCGUGGGGAGCAAACAGG
rnacentral:rRNA from 1 species